UUCACAGUACAGAGGAAGGGUCACACUACCACCAGGGUCAUAAAACUACCCCUGGAAAUGCCCACAACUCCUACGAAAGCCUUGUCAAAUAUGUGUUUCUAGGUUCACAGUACAGAGGAAGGGUCACACUACCACCAGGGUCAUAAAACUACCCCUGGAAAUGCCCACAACUCCUACGAAAGCCUUGUCAAAUAGGUGUUUCUAUGUUCAGGGUACAGAGGAAGGGUCACACUACCACCAGGGUCAUAAAACUACCCCUGGAAAUGCCCACAACUCCUACGAAAGCCUUGUCAAAUAGGUGUUUCUAGGUUCACGGUACAGAGGAAGGGUCACACUACCACCAGGGUCAUAAAACUGCCCCUGGAAAUGCCCACAACUCCUACGAAAGCCUUGUCAAAUAGGUGUUUCUAGGUUCACAGUACAGAGGAAGGGUCACACUACCACCAGGGUCAUAAAACUACCCCUGGAAAUGCCCACAACUCCUACGAAAGCCUUGUCAAAUAGGUGUUUCUAGGUUCACAGUACAGAAGAAGGGUCACACUACCACCAGGGUCAUAAAACUACCCCUGGAAAUGCCCACAACUCCUACGAAAGCCUUGUCAAAUAGGUGUUUCUAGGUUCACAGUACAGAAGAAGGGUCACACUACCACCAGGGUCAUAAAACUACCCCUGGAAAUGCCCACAACUCCUACGAAAGCCUUGUCAAAUAGGUGUUUCUAGGUUCACAGUACAGAAGAAGGGUCACACUACCACCAGGGUCAUAAAACUACCCCUGGAAAUGCCCACAACUCCUACGAAAGCCUUGUCAAAUAGGUGUUUCUAGGUUCACAGUACAGAAGAAGGGUCACACUACCACCAGGGUCAUAAAACUACCCCUGGAAAUGCCCACAACUCCUACGAAAGCCUUGUCAAAUAGGUGUUUCUAGGUUCACAGUACAGAAGAAGGGUCACACUACCACCAGGGUCAUAAAACUACCCCUGGAAAUGCCCACAACUCUUAGGAAAGCCUUGUCAAAUAGGUGUUUCUAGGUUCACGGUACAGAGGAAGGGUCACACUACCACCAGGGUCAUAAAACUACCCCUGGAAAUGCCCACAACUCCUACGAAAGCCUUGUCAAAUAGGUGUUUCUAGGUUCACGGUACAGAAGAAGGGUCACACUACCACCAGGGUCAUAAAACUACCCCUGGAAAUGCCCACAACUCCUACGAAAGCCUUGUCAAAUAGGUGUUUCUAGGUUCACAGUACAGAGGAAAGGUCACACUACCACCAGGGUCAUAAAACUACCCCUGGAAAUGCCCACAGCUCCUACGAAA